GAAGUUGGUCCAUGGUCAAUAUUAUGCAAAUGUGUCCGGCUAACGCGAGGCAUUUAUCCCAUGGAAGUAGAGUCUUCCAUAAACAAGAGAAUGUCUUCUUGGUCCUUCGUUGUACUGCAACCGCACAUGUGAAACGUUCUGCUACCAACUGGAGGAAAAGCUAAUUAUAGCGGAGGACAAACACAAUAAGGAUUGGAGGAUGGUGGAAUUGUUGGUGACUCUGGUGUCCAACCAAUAACUUUGGGAUAUGGGAGUUGAUUGAUGGAGCUGGAAAACCCCAUAUUUUCUACAGGACUGCAGUGAAGAAGAAAAAAAACUCAGCCUACCACAAGCACUGACAUUAAAAUGCUGAUUAUGGCUAAUUAGCCAGCUAAACCACAGAGAUGCUCCAUAAUGCUGCUCAUUGGACACUGACUGGUUCUGUGUUUAUUCUGGGGCAGGCUAAUGACAUAACGCCUUAGGAAUCUGUUCAUAUUAGCUUGUUUUUUAAUUUUUAUAUCACUGAGAAAACAAAUCUGUCUGCAAUGACUGAUAACCUUGAUUAUCUGUCUACUCUGUUGAUACAUUUUGAGCUCUCAAGACAUGUUCUGAUAAGCCUAGAUAUGUAUUGCUGCAGUCACUAGAGCACUAAAACAUUGGUUAUCAAUUGUCUUUAUGGACACUCAUGUGGAGAGUGAAGAACCUACACUGAUGAAUAGAUGAUGCUGCUGGUAUUGCUGAAAUGUGAAACGUGCUGCCUCAGAAAUAACUUAAAUAAUACAUGAAUGAAUAGAUGACAGGGGAAAGAAGGGGACAGACAUUCCUUCCAGAAAUGGACCAAAGCCUGUUAAGUUGAUUAACAAAAAGGCUUGCACACUCAAAACAUUGCAGUUCAAACAAUUCUUAACAAUUUUUUUCUUUAUGGCAGCAGGCAUGUGUUUCCCUUGUGGGCAGUAUUGUUCUUCUCAUGCAUUGAUUCUCUCAGACUUGAUGCUUGCUUAAAAUGCUGA